CGAUGGAGGCUGCGCGCACGAGGCUGGCCGUGCAGAUCAGUCCUGCCCCUAGGCAAAGGGGAGAGCUGCUUUUCCCCAGCCAAUGCUUAAUUUGAAAGGAAAAAAGGGUUGUGAAACUUUCAACCUGCAAUGAAGGAGAGAAAAAACUUAGCCAAGAUGAGGAGAAGCCCAUCUACUACGGUGAUAAAGUCCUGUGGGAACCCUGAGAACCAUCAUUUACACAAAGAAGCAGCUAUACAAUCUCCCCACCCCAGUAAAUACUGUUUCUCAGUUCCUUGCUGAUGACCCUGAUUUAGCCUGUAUUAGAUACAGUUACUAACACCAAUCCAAAUGUUUACUGAUGAAGGAAGGGAGGAAAAACCCAAGAGACAAGUGAACGGUUCUAACAUAAAGUAAA